ensembl:lncRNA
UGGAGGGCUGGUCGUGAGCGGGACGGGUGGGAAGGAGAGGAAGUCAUCCGGGAGCUCUUGGUCAAACUGGGCAGAAGAUGAGAAAACUGAAGUCCAGAGCGUUUAAAGAACUUGCCUGAGUGGCAGAGUAGGAAGUAGAACUUCGGUCUCUUGCUAAUCAGCUCAUUUCUUUACCCGUAUCACCAAACCAAGAUGGACAACGUGGCUUCAAAAAUUUUUUAAAGGGUGCUUGUGUGUGUGAGACGUUUGUGGAUGGGGGCUUUCCCAGGCUGGUCAGAUUUACCAUCUCAUCUGCUGAUCUCCAAAUGGAAGAUGAGCAGCGCCCGCCACACCCACCAAUGAUCAGAUUCCAGUUGGAGGGCCUGAGUGACUUCUUCCUCUUCCUCCCUGAGAAGAUUGUUUCCAGGAGCAGCUGUAGGACUGAUAGAGAGAACUAAUCAAGGAGCAUGGUUUGUUCAUUAUGAGGGCAAGGCUGGGCACAUUCCUAGCGUCCCUGCUGCUGGCUGCAUCCGGCGGGUCCCUGGGUUUUGACUUGAGCUCUCUGCACAUUCACCAGCCCUAUCUCUUCCUGUGCCCACACCGCAC